UACGUAGGGCGCAAGCGUUAUCCGGAAUUAUUGGGCGUAAAGCGCUCGUAGGCGGGACUGGAAGUCCGUGUUGAAAGACCUCGGCUCAACUGAGGGACCGGCUCGGAUACUCUAGUUCUUGAGGCAAUCAGAGGGUGAUGGAAUUCCCGGUGUAGCGGUGAAAUGCGUAGAUAUCAGGAGGAACACCGGUGGCGAAGGCGGGUCUCUGGGCCGAUAUUGACGCUGAGGAGCGAAAGCGUGGGGAGCAAACAGG
rnacentral:rRNA from 1 species